GAAAUCCUCCUAACUUCCACAAGGGCUGAGUACUGCUGACAUUGGGAAUGCUGACUUCAGUCUGCUUGCCAUUCUAAUUCCCCUAGUAAAUUAGUCUACCCACACUCAGACUUACCACGUCUUACUUAAGUUCUUGCUUGAGUGAGAUGAUGAGUGGUUUUUCUUUUUCUCCUGUCCACUCCUCACACCCCUUGAAGCAGGAAACAUUCAAAGUUUCGGUAAUGGGUGUGGGGUAGGUGCAGGGUUUCCGUAAACAGAAGUCAAGACCUGAGAAGAGAAAGAUGAUCUUAAGCAUUUUUUUUUUCCAUUUUGGCUAUGAUGCCUGACACAUGGGAUCUUAGUUCUCUGACCAGGGAUCAAACCCGUGCCCCCUGCAGGGGUCCUAACCACUGGAUUCCUAACCACUGGACCUCCAGGGAAGUCCCAAUAAGCUUACAGUUUAAUAAGGCGCCAGAGAGCCACUAGCAGGAAUUCAAGAUCUGACUGUCUUCUAGAUACAUCCCUACCACCCCUCUUCCCAACCAGAGCAGAAAGGUUACAAACAUUGAUAUCUGCAGCAGCAAGUUCUCGGUUUUGCCACUUGUUUUACUGCCAUGGAAUCAACUAACAUUGUCUAUGGGCUCCAAUGUGAGUAACAUAAAAAGUACGGUAUUACAGUACAACAGCUGGCAUCGAGUGACCAGGCAAGAAGAGUUACUGACUGGAGGAGGGAAGAUGGUAGAACUGAAGGAUCACCAGCAACAGGAGAUGGAGGGCAAGCUGCAACAUCACUCAUGCCUGACGUUGAUGGAACAUACAUUCCCAUCUUUGAAAGUUCAAAACGUGACGAUUUGUAUGUAGGGAACUUAUUAAUGCUUUUAUUAUAAACUGUUUUUGAACAAUAAAUAUACAGUAAUUUUAUUCUAAUUGGUGGAA
rnacentral:lncRNA from 1 species